GGUGCUACACAUGCAGUCGGACGAGAGGAGGGAGCUUGCUCCCGAAUUUAGUGGCGCACGGGUGAGUAACGCGUGGAUGAUCUACCUGUCAGUUUGGGACAACAGUUGGAAACGACUGCUAAUACCGGAUACGGCACCAUUUCAUCUUGGUGUUAAAGGGGGCCUCUGUUUAUGCUUCCGCCGAUGGAUGAGUCCGCGUUUCAUUAGGUAGUUGGUGAGGUAACGGCUCACCAAGCCGACGAUGAAUAGCUGGUCUGAGAGGAUGAUCAGCCACACUGGGACUGGAACACGGCCCAGACUCCUACGGGAGGCAGCAGUGGGGAAUAUUGCGCAAUGGGCGAAAGCCUGACGCAGCGACGCCGCGUGAGGGAUGAAGGGCUUCGGUUCGUAAACCUCUGUCAGAAGGGAAGAAGUGUGGUGGUGCUAAUCAGCCAUCAUUUGACGGUACCUUCAAAGGAAGCACCGGCUAACUCCGUGCCAGCAGCCGCGGUAAUACGGAGGGUGCAAGCGUUAAUCGGAAUCACUGGGCGUAAAGCGCAUGUAGGCUGCUUUAUAAGUCAGGGGUGAAAUCCCACGGCUUACCCGUGGAAUUGCCUUUGAUACUGUAGAGCUUGAGUCUGUGAGAGGGUAGCAGAAUUCCAGUGUAGGGGUGAAAUCCGUAGAGAUCUGGAGGAAUAUCAGUGGCGAAAGCGGCUACCUGGUGCAGUACUGACGCUGAGAUGCGAAAGCGUGGGGAUCAAACAGGAUUAGAUACCCUGGUAGUCCACGCUGUAAACGAUGGAUACUAGUGUCGGGAGCAUGUCUUUCGGUGCCGCAGCUAACGCAUAGUAUCCCGCCUGGGGAGUACGUCGCAGCUGAACUCAAGAAAUGACGGGGC
rnacentral:rRNA from 1 species